GUAUCACUGGGCUCAGGAUGAACGCUAGCGGCAGGCUUAACACAUGCAAGUCGAGGGGCAGCAUAAUGGAUAGCAAUAUCUAUGGUGGCGACCGGCGCACGGGUGCGUAACGCGUAUGCAACCUACCUUUAACAGGGGGAUAACACUGAGAAAUUGGUACUAAUACCCCAUAAUAUCAUAGAAGGCAUCUUUUAUGGUUGAAAAUUCCGAUGGUUAGAGAUGGGCAUGCGUUGUA
rnacentral:rRNA from 1 species